CCUACGGGAGGCAGCAGUAGGGAAUAUUGCUCAAUGGGGGAAACCCUGAAGCAGCAACGCCGCGUGGAGGAUGAAGGUUUUCGGAUUGUAAACUCCUUUUGUUAGAGAAGAUAAUGACGGUAUCUAACGAAUAAGCACCGGCUAACUCCGUGCAAGCAGCCGCGGUAAUACGGAGGGUGCAAGCGUUACUCGGAAUCACUGGGCGUAAAGAGCGCGUAGGCGGGAUAGCAAGUCAGAUGUGAAAUCCUAGGGCUUAACCAUAGAACUGCAUUUGAAACUGUUAUUCUAGAGUAUGGGAGAGGUAGGUGGAAUUCUUGGUGUAGGGGUAAAAUCCGUAGAGAUCAAGAGGAAUACUCAUUGCGAAGGCGACCUGCUAGAACAUAACUGACGCUGAUGCGCGAAAGCGUGGGGAGCAAACAGGAUUAGAUACCCCUGUAGUC
rnacentral:rRNA from 1 species